UACGGGGGGGGGCAAGCGUUUGUUCGGAAUUACUGGGCGUAAAGGGCUCGUAGGCGGCCAACUAAGUCAGACGUGAAAUCCCUCGGCUUAACCGGGGAACUGCGUCUGAUACUGGAUGGCUUGAGUUCGGGAGAGGGAUGCGGAAUUCCAGGUGUAGCGGUGAAAUGCGUAGAUAUCUGGAGGAACACCGGUGGCGAAGGCGGCAUCCUGGACCGACACUGACGCUGAGGAGCGAAAGCCAGGGGGAGCAAACGGG
rnacentral:rRNA from 1 species